rnacentral:lncRNA from 1 species
GUUAACUAAAGAACAAAAAAUAAUGAAGAUAUACACAAUCAAAGAUAGCUGGAUGCUACCAACAGACAAGCCAGCAAAAUGACUGCACAGAAGAAAUGGCUCAACAACCAUCACAAGGAUAGAAUUCUACCUUCCUUUAUUAACUGACUGACACUGCAGUGUUAAGUUCCCCCAUCACUACAGGACUUCCAUGACGUUCUUGUGAUCACCUCAGAGGACUGAUGACAUCCUUGAAUGGUGGCUUGUGGGCCAUGAAGCAUGGUGAAAGGAUUUGGAGAGGGAACACCUAUGGGAUCUCAGAAUCUACCCAAGGUCAAAGGUUUAUUAAAGGAAGUUAACUAGGGACAUCAAACAGGAAAGGUCUGGAUUUUCC